rnacentral:rRNA from 1 species
GACGAACGCUGGCGGCGUGCCUAAUACAUGCAAGUCGAGCGGAUGAAAGAGGAGCUUGCUCCUCUAGAUUCAGCGGCGGACGGGUGAGUAACACGUGGGCAACCUGCCCUGUAGAUUGGGAUAACUCCGGGAAACCGGGGCUAAUACCGAAUAAUCCUCCGGACCUCAUGGUCCGAUGUUGAAAGACGGUUUCGGCUGUCACUACAGGAUGGGCCCGCGGCGCAUUAGCUAGUUGGUGAGGUAACGGCUCACCAAGGCCACGAUGCGUAGCCGACCUGAGAGGGUGAUCGGCCACACUGGGACUGAGACACGGCCCAGACUCCUACGGGAGGCAGCAGUAGGGAAUCUUCCACAAUGGACGAAAGUCUGAUGGAGCAACGCCGCGUGAGUGAAGAAGGUUCUCGGAUCGUAAAACUCUGUUGUGAGGGAAGAACAAGUACCGGAGUAACUGCCGGUGCCUUGACGGUACCUCAUUAGAAAGCCACGGCUAACUACGUGCCAGCAGCCGCCGUAA